UUGUUACUACGGUAACAAAUAUACUAAAAUUGGAACGAUACAGAGAAGAAUAGCAUGGCCCCUGUGCAAGGACGACACGCACAUUCGGGAAGCCACCCUUAAAUGG
rnacentral:snRNA from 14 species